rnacentral:rRNA from 1 species
CCAGACUCCUACGGGAGGCAGCAGUCGGGAAUAUUGCGCAAUGGAGGAAACUCUGACGCAGUGACGCCGCGUAUAGGAAGAAGGUUUUCGGAUUGUAAACUAUUGUCGUUAGGGAAGAUAAAAGACUGUACCUAAGGAGGAAGCCCCGGCUAACUAUGUGCCAGCAGCCGCGGUAAUACAUAGGGGGCAAGCGUUAUCCGGAUUUACUGGGUGUAAAGGGAGCGUAGACGGCAGCGCAAGUCUGAAGUGAAAUGCCGGGGCUUAACCCCGGAACUGCUUUGGAAACUGUGCGGCUGGAGUGCAGGAGGGGUAAGCGGAAUUCCUAGUGUAGCGGUGAAAUGCGUAGAUAUUAGGAGGAACACCGGUGGCGAAGGCGGCUUACUGGACUGUAACUGACGUUGAGGCUCGAAAGCGUGGGGAGCAAACAGGAUUAGAUACCCCCGUAAA